CGAGCAGGACCCUGAGGCGCCGGUGGCCGAGAUGCCGGCAGCCAGGGAUUUCAAGAGAAUGCAGCCAACUCCACAGAGGUUUGCGGGCAGAAAGAACAGCCAAAGGAGAAAAGGCAAGAGAUGAGAGAGGUGAGGAGCCUCCUGAAAGAGCCGAAGUACAGGGCAUGGUCCAACACCGGAGGCCGUGAGCCGACUGACAGGCCCAGCAACAGAGUCAGUAGUGACAGCAGAAACCUACUGCUUGGAAAGCAGCUCAGAGAGCUGAACAAAAGUAGCUGUAUUGGCCAUGAGCUGGAUCAGUUGGCAGUGGAAUGACCAGCGGCAAGGGGAGCGUGCCCUGAGAGCAACAACGGGCAUGCAUGGAAAAGAAAAGGGCCCACUUUCUUGCUGGCUAAGAGCAGCUGAGAGAAUGUGUCUGCACUGCAGAAGGGUGGGAAAUGCUCUCUCAGGGGAGGUUUCCUGGCUGUCUGAACCUGAUGCUGGGUGUUGCUCUUCAUCCUGAGUUGUAUCUUGUUAUUUCUUACUCUCUGUGAAGGCUGUGUGACCAUUGCAGCAGACUAUCAAACCCAGGAGAGAAGAGAGGGCUGCGUGUGAGGGCUUGUGUUAGAAUUGGUUUUAAAAAAAAGGUUGGAGAGUGGAGGAAUAUCUGACCUUUACCUCUUAGGAGCUGAUUGAUCUUGAGCUGGUCUUGAUUUCUCAUGAUCUCUUCUGAAGUUUUUUGAACUUUUAAGUUUUCAUUUUUGCUGCUGUGUAAACUUGCAAUAAAGAUUCACUGAAAGAAA